CUGCCAGUCGUUGACCAGCACCUGUUAAUAAUCUACCUGUAAGAACUGUUAGGGCCCCUGGAUUGAUGAGGAAUUUAAGAAUUCUUUGGUUCAAAGACACGAUACAAAAGACGUGAGAUACAAGUCAGGUUGCUCAGCUGAUUGGUUGACAUACAAGUCCGGUUGCUCAGCUGAUUGGUUGACAUACAAGUCAGGUUGCUCAGCUGAUUGGUUGCAAUACAAGUCAGGUUGGCUCAGCUGAUUGGUUGACAUACAAGUCAGGUUGCUCAGCUGAUUGGUUUGACAUACAAGUCAGGUUGCUCAGCUGAUUGGUUGACAUACAAGUCAGGUUGCUCAGCUGAUUGGUUGACAUUCUGUAACUUGAGACAUUUUGUGACUAAACUUAACAAAAAUAUGAUUUCUUUUUUAUUACCAAACCAAGAUAAAUGACUUAAAACACAA